UACAGAGGAGCCAAGCGUUGUCCGGAUUGACUGGGCGUAAAGCGCACGCAGGCGGUCGCGCGCGUGGGGUGUGAAAUCUGGCCGCUUAACGGCCAGGCGCCAUCCCAUACGGCGCGACUGGAGUGAUGCAGAGGUCGGUGGAAUUGCCGGUGUAGUGGUGAAAUGCGUAGAGAUGUGGAGGAACACCGAUGGCGAAGGCAGCCUCCUGGGCCAAUACUGACGCUCAUGCACGAAAGCGUGGGGAGCAAACAGG
rnacentral:rRNA from 1 species